rnacentral:rRNA from 3 species
AAACUUUCAACAAUGGAUCUCUUGGUUCCGGCAUCGAUGAAGAACGCAGCGAACUGCGAUAAGUAAUGUGAAUUGCAGAAUUCAGUGAAUCAUCGAGUCUUUGAACGCACAUUGCGCCCCCUGGCAUUCCGGGGGGCAUGCCUGUCCGAGCGUCAUUA